rnacentral:tRNA from 1 species
GCCUUUGUAGCUCAGUGGUAGAGCGUAGCACUUGUAAUGCUAAGGUCUCUCGUUCGAUCCGGGGCAGAGGCA